GAUUUCCAGCUUCUACGACGCUCUGCCUAAAUUAAAAAGCAACCAAUCGGAACGGCCGGAAGGGGGGCCAGGCGUCCUAAGCCAGUCAUUCUAGGCCUGCCAAUCACCCAGCAGGUAGCCAAUCAGCAGGGGCCCUGGUGCUCGACUUCCUUGUAUUUGGGAAAGUGUGGUGGUGGGUGCGCGCUUGCGGCGGAGGGUAAACAUUCGACAGUCCCUGCUCUGAGAGGGAGGGACGGAGAGCGAACUGUCAGAUCCUAGCGGGAGCGGGCGCUCGAGAGAGGGAGAGAGAGAGGGAAAGUGAGACAGAGAGAAAGAGAGAGAACCCGGGCGCAGAGCUAGCUCCGGCUGCAACUCUGCCCCGGCACGCCAACUCCCGCGCCCGCCGUCGGGUACUCUAGGAGCGGUACAACGUACCCACAGGAGUUGGUUGUGUAUCAAGGAUCCCCUGUAUGCACACACACAUCUCCACCUCCACCAAUGCACUCUUCUUCCUCCUCCUUCUCCAGACAACUGCCGGGGAAAAAAUAAAACAUCAACCCCAACCUUCAGCAACAAGGAAAGAUGUCGCACCAGACUGUGAGUGUUGCGAG